rnacentral:rRNA from 1 species
GACGAACGCUGGCGGCGUGCUUAACACAUGCAAGUCGAACGGAAAGGCCCUGCUUUUGUGGGGUGCUCGCGUGGCGCACGGGUGAGUAACCCGUGAGUAACCUGCCCUUGACUUUGGGAUAACUUCAGGAAACUGGGGCUAAUACCGGAUAGGAGCUCCUGCUGCAUGGUGGGGGUUGGAAAGUUUCGUCGGUUGGGGAUGGACUCGCGGCUUAUCAGCUUGUUGGUGGGGUAGUGGCUUACCAAGGCUUUGACGGGUAGCCGGCCUGCGAGGGUGACCGGCCACAUAGUCACAGAGAUACGGCCCAUACGCCUACUUGAGGCAGCAGUGAGGAAUUGUGCACAAUGGGCGGAGGCCUGAUGCAGCAACGCCGCGUGCGAGAGGACGGCCUGCGGGUUGUAAGCCGCUUUCGCCUGUAACGAAGCGUGAGUGACGGAAAUGGGGAAAGAAGCACCGGCUAACUACUG